rfam:Gorilla gorilla gorilla genomic chromosome, chr6, whole genome shotgun sequence
CCAAAGGCUCUUUUCAGAGCCACGCACUUAUUCCAACGAAAGUAG